rnacentral:lncRNA from 1 species
CUUCGCUUCGCGCCUCAGAGGCCCCGUGUCCCUCCGCGCCUUCGCCGCUGCUCGGCGGCGCGGUGCCUGCGUAUCCCUCCGCACCUCAGUGCGCCUCGCGCCUCAGCAGCUAAGUGUCCCUCCGCGCGUCGCCGCCGCUGCCUGAGGCGCGGGCAGCUCCUCGGCGGCCUGCGGAGGCAGAGGCCCCGGCGCAGAUCUGUCGUUUGGUACUGUAUAUGCAAAGGAAGCAGCCAAAGAGCUGCAUGGGAGUCCAACUUACCAUGACUGACCUGUGUUUCACUUCGUACUGAGGCGUUGCCAAAGUAAACAAUCCUGGAUGGCUAUUUGGAAAGCAGAGGAGAGAAGAAAGAGGCAGCGAGUCAGAACUGGUCCAAAUGUGUCCAGACAAGCACCAUGUAUGAAUUGAUAUGCGUUAAGGGCCAUGUGCUGCCAGAGAGGAAAAUCUCAGUGAAAAAGAGGCUAUUUGUUGAGAGACAAG